GAGACGGUGCCGAUCGAGUGUCCUAGCCGUUUCUGUAACGGAUCACGUUGUCUUUUCUACGUCUUUAAUCCCAUUAAUUCAGAUGCUGACUACGAGAUCUUCAAUUGUGUAGUUUCCGUCGGCAAUAUCGGUUAUAAAUAAGUUAGUAUGUGUCUUCUGAAAAUUGUGAUCUCCAAAAUACGCAUCUAGAUACCGGUUGCUCAUGGUGGACGUUAACGUGAGUCAAAAUUCUUACAGAAGUAAGAUAACUGAAACCUCUUCUCUCUUCAUCACUCAUCCAGUCGAGUUACUUUCUCAACAAUUCCUGGUAGUCCUUCAGCAUCUGGUUUAGGUCAAGCAAAAGACCAUCAGAUUCCAGUUGUUUAAGAACGGUGAAUUAAGAUUGCUAAAUGUAUGGUAAUUAUUCGAACAAUUGCAUACAUGUUUCUAAGUUUUUAUUUUCUGGUCGAACGCUAUUUUCGUGAUUGGAGUUUAUAACUGAUGUUUCUGAAGUUUAUAACUUCAUUUGGAGUAUCUUCGAUCUUCACAGCAAAGGCUGUAUGAAAAAGCUCAAGGAAAUGGAUCCUUUCAAUUUUGAAACUGAUAGAACCUGUUGUACCUUGCGGUCUCACCUGUUAGAAAGACGAUUGUAACUGGAGGAGGAGAGGCGACCUUAAGGUUCUGGAAUGUCUUACCAUCCCUGAAAUUUCAGUAUCAGGUGGGAUCUGUGCUGAGCGUGGUCUGCUGGGUGUGACUACAUGUGUAACUAUGCUGGAAGAAAGAGUCAGAUCCAAUGCAAACCACCAAAACCAGGAUUCACUGCAACUGGUACUUAUUAUACUUUUGUUAAUUUAUAGUAAAUAAUCAGCGGAAUUCCUUUUGUAGUUUUCUCAAGGUUUUUUUUUCCUCAAGCUUUUAUUAUAUGGGAAUCAUACUUAUUGUUUUUGGAGUCUGUUACUUUUCAUGCUAUUCAAUUACUCAGAGUUAUUGGCUAAUAUAUCUUGACACUGAGAUUCUUCAGGUUGAUGGAACGUCUUGAUACUUGAAUUCCCUUUCUCAUCUUUUCGUAAGAACCAAGGAGUUUGUUUACAUUGUCACGUUAAAGGCUUAGAGCUUUGCUUUGCUUAGGUUUUACAUUCGAGGUUUACAUUUUUCUUUUUUUUUACUGAAUGUUUACAGUUAUCUUCUAUUUUUUUCUGAACUAUUGUCUAAAGUAUCUAAAAGCAAUAAUAUUUUUUGUUUUUUUAAGUACACACCUAACCACCUCUAUUACCCUUC